GCCGCGAUAGAUCAGUUGAUAGAGCAUCUGCCCAGCAAGCGGAUUGUUUCCGGUUUGAUCCCGGCUCGUGGCU
rnacentral:tRNA from 1 species